rnacentral:rRNA from 1 species
UAUGUGAUCGUCUCUCGCAUAUCAAUAAGCGGAGGAAAAGAAACUAACAAGGAUUCCCCUAGUAACGGCGAGUGAAGCGGGAAGAGCUCAAAUUUGAAAUCUUAAAGGGUUUCCCUUUACGAAUUGUAGUUUAAAGAAGUGUUUUCUGUUGAGGUUUUGGUAAAAGUUCUUUGGAAUAGGACAUCAUAGAGGGUGAGAAUCCCGUAUUUGACCAUUACUUUUCAACUUUGUGAUACACUUUCAAAGAGUCGGAUUGUUUGGGAAUGCAGUCCAAAAUGGGUGGUAAAUUUCAUCUAAAGCUAAAUAUUGGCGAGAGACCGAUAGCGAACAAGUACCGUGAGGGAAAGAUGAAAAGAACUUUGAAAAGAGAGUUAAACAGUACGUGAAAUUGUCAAAAGGGAAGCGUUUGACACCAGUGUUGUUUUUCUGAAAAUCAAUUAAAGAACUGUUUAUGCUAAGUUGUUUAGACUUUAUCAGCUAACUGUUUAGUUUUGAGCUUUUCUUUAAUGCACUUUUCAGUUAACAAGUCAACAUCAAUUUCUUUUGCUGUAAAAAAGCUUGAGGAAGGUGGCUUGAGAUUCGUCUUAAGUGUUUAUAGCCUCUUGCCUAUGCAGUCGGAGAGAUUGAGGUCUGCAGCGUAGAUCCUUCGGGGCUAAAUGCAUUUGUGCUAAGUUAUAGCAUUUUAUAGACAACUUGUUGACUAUGAUUUGUCUUGUAGCUUACUCGCUUAUGUUAUUUUACCUACGCUUAGGAUGUUGAGUCAUCACACAUCUCU